rfam:Triticum aestivum genome assembly, contig: Triticum_aestivum_CS42_TGACv1_scaffold_556703_7AL
GAAAUACUCCCUCCAUCCCAAAAUUCUUGUCUUACAUUUGUCAAAAUACGGAUGUAUCAAGUCACGUUUUGGAAUUAGAUACAUCCGUAUCUAGACUAAUCUGAGACAAGAAUUUUGGGACGGAGGGAGUAUAAG